rnacentral:lncRNA from 1 species
AUCUAAGAAAAUCUAGAUAUAAGAAAUUAUUUUUAGGGCAAAUCUCCAAAAUAGCACAUUUCUAAGUUUAUAUCACAAAAAUAGUACUCAAAAACUAAAAUGACCAAAAUAGCAUUUUAUCUUUUGAAAAAAUUAAAUUUUUUUAUUUUCCAAAAUUUGAAAUCUUAUCCCCAAAACCUCACUUCUCAACUCUAAACCCUAAAACCUAAAUUCUAAACCCUAAACCCUAAAUUCUAAACCCUAAACCCCACCCCUUGAAUGCUAUUUUUGUGACUUUUGGCCUUGAGUGCUAGUUUGGGA